CACGUAGGGUGCAAGCGUUGUCCGGAAUCAUUGGGCGUAAAGAGCUCGUAGGCGGCUUAGUAAGUCGGGUGUGAAAACUCUAGCUCAACCUAGAGACGCCACCCGAUACUGCUAUAGCUAGAAUCCAGUAGGGGAGUGUGGAAUUCCCAGUGUAGCGGUGAAAUGCGCAGAUAUUGGGAGGAACACCAAUGGCGAAGGCAGCUCGCUGGGACGGUACUGACGCUGAGGCGCGAAAGCUAGGGGAGCGAACAGG
rnacentral:rRNA from 1 species